GCAGCCCCGGCUCCUGGGCCCCAGGCUCCAGGCAGUUCAGCUGACCGCCAAAAGAUGGCUCAAUCUGCAGGAGCAUCAGAGCAAGAAACUGAUGUCUGACAGUGGAGUGAUGGUGCAACGGUUCUCCGUCGCUAACACUACCAGUGAAACUCUUGAGGCUGCUAAAAGGCUCAAUUCCCAAGAAAUUGUUUUUAAAAGCCUAGAUCUUAGCUGGAGGAAGAGGAAAAGGUGCCAAAAGAAGGUGUGAAAGUUAACAAGGUGAUGGUUGCCGAAGCCUUGGACAUUUCCAGAGAAAUCUACAUGGCUAUUUUGAUGGACAGAUCAUGCAAUGGCCCAAUCUGGUGGGCAGUCCAUAGGGAGAUAUUGACAUUGAAGAGAUGGCAGCUUCGAAUCCAGAACUUACCUUUAAGAAACAAAUUGACAUUUUUGAAGGGAAAACCUCAGCUUUCUUGGAGCUUUGAAAAACCAGGCUGCAGAUCAAAUUAAGAAGCUGUAUAACCUCUUCCUGAAAAUUGAUGCAACUCAGGUUGAGGUGAAUCCCUUUGCUAAAACUCCAGAAGGACAAGUUGUCUGUUUUGAUGCCGAGAUAAAUUUUAACGACAAUGUAGAAUUCCAACAAAAGGACAUCUUUGCUAUGGAUGACAAAUCAGAGAAUGAGCCCAUUGAAAAUGAAGCUGCCAGAUAUGAGCUAAAAUACAUUGGACUGGACGGGAACAUUGCCUGCUUUGUCAAUGGUGCAGGGCUGGCCAUGGCAACGUGUGACAUCAUUUUCCUUAAUGGAGGGAAGCCAGCAAAUUUCUUGGACCUUACUGGUGGCAUCAAAGAAGCUCAAGUGUAUCAGGUGUUCAAGUUGCUGACCUCUGAACCUAAGGUUGAAGCCAUCCUUGUCAAUAUUUUCGGUGGCAUCGUCAACUGUGCCAUCAUUGCCAAUGGAAUCACCAAAGCUUGUCGGGAGUUGGAGCUCAAGGUGCCCAUACUGGUCUUUUUGGAAGAAACCAACGUGCAAAAGGCUCAGAAAAUCCUCAGCAACAGUGGACUGCCCAUCACGUCAGCUGUCGACCUAGAAGAUGCCUCCAAGAAGGCUGUGACCAGUGUGGCCAAGAAGUGA